UUCUUUUGAGCUUUCUAUUAAUCAAAGAAUCCUGGAAAAAAAAAGUUUAGAAACCUAAAACCUAAAAGAAAUGUUUAUUGAGCAGCCAUUUAGCAUAUUUGAAUGAUUUCUGAAGGAUGAUGUGACAAUGAAGAGUGGAGUGAUGCCUUUUACUUUUGAACAUUUGUUCAGACACCUCAAACACUAACAGAACACUUUGUGUCUCUGUCCAAGGUGCUGAACCAGGACUUCAGGUUGGACUACUGCAGACUGUGGCAGAGUUUGAUAAAGGGAGACUUGAAAGGCAUCGAGCGUUACAGCAGGCGUCUGGGCACAGGGGAUCCUAUCCUGUGUUCACUUGUGUCCUCACCGCCCGCUCCUGGACGUCAGUAAAUGUUGGUAUCAGCCAGACACCUGUCACUCAAACUGAGGAUGUGGAGAUCUGAAUGAAUGUGGUGCAGUACAUCCCUCAGAUCAGUGAGCUGCUGAACAGGAUUCCCCGACAGAUGCUGCUGCUUCUGAAAACCAACGACCUGCUGAGAGGCAUCGAGACUAUCCUGCAGACUAGAGCCAGCUCCAGCUCCUUCAUCAAUAUGUCCCGCUGCUGUACUCAUGCCAUCGCCAGAAACCAAGUCUCGGACCAGGCGACCGUAGAUCUCUCUGUUUGAGCGUUGGUCUCUCUGUAUGAACUUAUGGUGUGGCUCCGCAGCUUCACACUGGCCAGAUGGGUCUGUUACUUCCUCAACUUCCUGUCCUACUCAAACUAAAAGCCUUGAACCAGGGCAUUACACCCUCUGCACUGAACUCAGCACACUGCCAAGUGCAAUGUUAGCUUUUUUUAAGGUUGAGGGGCUACAGGGGCAUGCAUCACAGAAAACCCCUCACUUCCCCCAGCCUGAAGGCAACAGCCAGCAGUCAUGAAGUCCAAACCCCGCCAUACUAAUGCCCUCUAGAGAGCAGAUUGUAGCUGCCAAGCAUCGGAUGAUGGAAGCAGUUAUCUGCUCAACAAGUCUCUUCCACAUCACUCUCUGCUCAGCUGCACAGCUGAAACCAAAUUGCUGAAUCCCAGCUUCACCAUCAACCAUAAUGUGUAAUUUACUGUGUCCACAGUUAAUCCUGUCAGGCACGAAUUGCAGCUAUAGUGUGUUUCCAGGAACCGUUCAAAUUUGUAUUUAAUAAUUUCAGUGGAUGGGAUGCACUCGUAAGUGCACUAUUACAUUUUUCUGUCCCCUUGAUAUUAGCUCUUUACAAUUUCUGUUGUAAACUCUUUCUCACGUGUUGUUGUUGUUGUUUGUCAUGUCAGGAAAAUUUCCUUGGUUUGCAAUAGCUGAGCUUAUAGCCCAGAAAGAUGGAGGUAACACUUAAAAAAAAAGAAGAAGGAAAGAUUGAUUGAUUGAUUGAUCUGUGUUGUUCUUGAAUGAACCAAUUUAGUGUAUUUUUAUUAUAUUAGAAUGAUUUCUGAAGGAAGACUGGAGUAAU